rnacentral:rRNA from 1 species
AAUGGGGGAAACCCUGACGCAGCCAUGCCGCAUGAAUGACGAAGGUCUUAGGAUUGUAAAAUUCUUUCAGCGGGGACGAUAAUGACGGUACCCGCAGAAGAAGUCCCGGCUAACUUCGUGCCAGCAGCCGCGGUAAUACGAAGGGGGCUAGCGUUGCUCGGAAUUACUGGGCGUAAAGGGCGCGUAGGCGGAUGUUUAAGUCAGAGGUAAAAGCCCAGGGCUCAACCUUGGAACUGCCUUUGAUACUGGACAUCUUGAGUACGGGAGAGGUGUGUGGAACUCCGAGUGUAGAGGUGAAAUUCGUAGAAAUUCGGAAGAACACCAGUGGCGAAGGCGACACACUGGCCCGUUACUGACGCUGAGGCGCGAAAGCGUGGGGAGCAAA